UGAACGCUAGCGACAGGCCUAACACAUGCAAGUCAGGGCAGCACAAGGAGCAAUCUGAGGUGGCGACCGGCGCACGGGUGAGUAACACGUAUGCAACCUGCCUGUAAGCGGGGAAUAACCCGUUGAAAGACGGACUAAUACCGCAUAAUACUAAAUUACUGCAUGGUAAUUUAUUUAAACAUUUAUGGCUUACAGAUGGGCAUGCGCAUGAUUAGCUAGUUGGAGAGGUAACGGCUCCCCAAGGCAACGAUCAUUAGGGGUUCUGAGAGGAAGGUCCCCACACUGGUACUGAGACACGGACCAGACUCCUACGGGAGGCAGCAGUGAGGAAUAUUGGUCAAUGGACGAGAGUCUGAACCAGCCAAGUCGCGUGCAGGAAGAAUGUCCUUAAUGGAUUGUAAACUGCUUUUGCAGGGGAAUAAAGUGCAUCACGUGUGAUGUUUUGUAUGUACUCUGCGAAUAAGGAUCGGCUAACUCCGUGCCAGCAGCUGC
rnacentral:rRNA from 1 species